GAUGAACGCUGGCGGCGUGCCUAAUACAUGCAAGUCGAGCGAACAGACGAGGAGCUUGCUCCUCUGACGUUAGCGGCGGACGGGUGAGUAACACGUGGAUAACCUACCUAUAAGACUGGGAUAACUUCGGGAAACCGGAGCUAAUACCGGAUAAUAUAUUGAACCGCAUGGUUCAAUAGUGAAAGACGGUUUUGCUGUCACUUAUAGAUGGAUCCGCGCCGCAUUAGCUAGUUGGUAAGGUAACGGCUUACCAAGGCAACGAUGCGUAGCCGACCUGAGAGGGUGAUCGGCCACACUGGAACUGAGACACGGUCCAGACUCCUACGGGAGGCAGCAGUAGGGAAUCUUCCGCAAUGGGCGAAAGCUUGACGGAGCAACGCCGCGUGAGUGAUGAAGGUCUUCGGAUCGUAAAACUCUGUUAUUAGGGAAGAAAAAAUGUGUAAGUAACUAUGCACGUCUUGACGGUACCUAAUCAGAAAGCCACGGCUAACUACG
rnacentral:rRNA from 1 species